GUAAGUCGUCAAUAUGGGAGUGCUGCUCUGCUCACUGUAAAAAUGAAGGCAAGUUUCCACAUCACCGCCUCUUUAACAACAGCAGAGUUCCUUGUCUGAGUGAUUUUUUGGGAGAAUGCGCAAGACGACUUCCCAAGGGUCAUCCUUCCAGGAAACCUGUAGCUCGAAAUGGGUUCAGGGAUGCCUCGGACACUCCCACGAAUGGAGAGGAACCCUGGCAGUUUCGGAAGAACUGGAGGCACAAGCACUCUGACCCCGGGAGAACACCGCCAGGCUAGGGAGCUCGGGCGGGUGGGACCGGCCCAGACCCCGGCGGGCGCCCACCCCCGCCGCCCCCGCCCCGCGGCCCCGGCUCCCGGCCGCGCCCCGCCGCGCUCCGAGCCCCCAGUGCACCGCCGGGAGCCUCGCCGACACGGGGUGGGGAGGAGACGGUUGCCAGCGUCGCCGCCUCCCUACCUGUCCUGCCAGGGGCUCCGCGCGGGGCUCCGCGCCGGGCUCCGGCCCCACCGGCGACCGACGCCCAGGCCCGAGCGGCGGGCCCGCCCCGCCCGCGUGGGCUGCCCGACGCGCCGCCCGACACCCGCAGGCCCCCCGCCCCGGGCCCUCUCGCCGCUGAGGCCCAGAGGCGCGCUGGGUCCGGGGGACACGCUGCUCUUCCCCGAAGACCAGCCCGGGUUAAAAGCUGCCCCCGGACGCGGCCGUGGAGACAGCGAUCAGGCACAAAGCUGGACACCUGGGGCGAAGCGCGCGCGUGCGCACUGCGCCUGGGAACCCGAUUAGGCCCAGAGGAGGGCGGCGCGCGGCGGCCGGCGCGCUCCCCAGGCGGGUGCGGACGGCGCAGAGGCGCCGGGGGGCUCCCUUGCGUUGGGCAGGUGGGUCCCCCAGAGGGUCGCUGAGCUUUUCAGUGCUAAGCAGCUAAUGAAAACAAUAGUGAUAAACCGUAUUUCGUCAGGUAGCUUAAGGAGAAGAUUAAAUUUUGCUGCUGCUCUAUAUUGCCCAUCGUAUGAGGAUACAGGCAUUCUCACGCCCUUAUGGUGGAAAUGUAAAAUAAUGCAAAUUUACAUAAUGACAUUUUGGCAUUCUUUAAUUAAAA